rnacentral:tRNA from 1 species
CUGGGGUUGUGGCUCAGCAGUAGAGCGCUCACCUAGCACAUGCGAGGCACUGGGUUCGAUCCUCAGACCACAUA